rnacentral:rRNA from 1 species
UACGUAGGUGGCAAGCGUUGUCCGGAUUUAUUGGGCGUAAAGCGCGCGCAGGCGGUGCGGUAAGUCUCUGGUGAAAGCGCUCGGCUUAACUGGGCGAGGGCCGGGGAGACUGCCACGCUGGAGGGGAGCAGAGGCGAGUGGAAUUCCGGGUGUAGUGGUGAAAUGCGUAGAGAUCCGGAGGAACACCAGUGGCGAAGGCGGCUCGCUGGGCUCUACCUGACGCUGAGGCGCGAAAGCCAGGGGAGCAAACGGG